rnacentral:rRNA from 1 species
GACGAACGCUGGCGGCGUGCUUAACACAUGCAAGUCGAGCGAGAAAGCUCCUUCGGGAGUGAGUACAGCGGCGAACGGGUGAGUAACACGUGGGCAACCUGCCCUAGAGAGCGGGACAACCCGGGGAAACCCGAGCUAAUACCGCAUGAAUCGUCAUUGCUCAAGCAGUGGCGGGCAAUGGUAGCUUCGGGCUCCGCUCUAGGAUGGGCCCGCGGUCGAUUAGCUUGUUGGUGGGGUAACGGCCCACCAAGGCGACGAUCGAUAGCUGGUCUGAGAGGACGAUCAGCCACACUGGGACUGAGACACGGCCCAGACUCCUACGGGAGGCAGCAGUGGGGAAUCUUGCGCAAUGGGCGAAAGCCUGACGCAGCAACGCCGCGUGAGGGAUGACGGCCUUCGGGUUGUAAACCUCUUUCAGGAGGGACGAAGCUUCCGGGGUUAAUAGCCUACGGGGUGACGGUACCUCCAGAAGAAGCCCCGGCUAACUACGUGCCAGCAGCCGCCGUAA